CCUACGGGUGGCAGCAGUGAGGAAUAUUGGUCAAUGGGCGCGAGCCUGAACCAGCCAAGUAGCGUGAAGGAUGACUGCCCUACGGGUUGUAAACUUCUUUUAUAAAGGAAUAAAGUGAGGCACGUGUGCCUUUUUGUAUGUACUUUAUGAAUAAGGAGCGGCUAACUCCGUGCCAGCAGCCGCGGGAAUACGGAGGAUGCGAGCGUUAUCAGGAUUUAUUGGGUUGUAAGGGCGAGGAGAUGGGUUGUUAGGUCAGUUGUGAAAGUUUGCGGCUCAACCGUAAAAUUGCAAUUGAUACUGGCAGCCUUGAGUACAGUUGAGGUAGGCGGAAUUCGGGGUGUAGCGGUGAAAUGCUUAGAUAUCACGAAGAACUCCGAUUGCGAAGGCAGCUUACUAAACUGCCACUGACAUUGAUGCUCGAAAGUGUGGGUAUCAAACAGGAUUAGAUACCCCGGUAGUC
rnacentral:rRNA from 1 species